ACCGUGUCAGCCAGGAUGGUCUCGAUCUCCUGACCUUGUGAUCUGCCCGCCUCGGCCUCCCAAAGUGCUGGGAUUACAGGCGUGAGCCACCGCGCCCGGACACUUCUUGUGAAUCCUUAUGUUUUGCUGUCCUGCUACCUAAGGAGGAAUGCUUUCGCCAGGGAACCCAUCUAUCGUUCUGUUACAUUAAGAGAAGAAUAACUGCUGCUGGUAAAGGUCAAAGAAGGUGGGAUUUAAUAAAGAAGUAAAAAAGAGGAUUAUUGAUAUAAG